rnacentral:sRNA from 1 species
ACAUAGCCCCGAUGGGAACGGCAUCCUUUUUUGUUUUUUUUUAGAUUCUUCGAUAAGCUCAGAAUGACAAAUGUUGUAAAAAAACAAAAAAGAUAUAGUGGAGAGCGGGUUGGGAU